GCCGGGGUGGCAGAGUGGUUAAUGCGCGGGCCUUGAGAGCCCGUGACCUUCGGGUCGCGUGGGUUCGAAUCCUACCCCCGGCGCCA
rnacentral:tRNA from 1 species